GGGAAGGUGCAUAGUUCAGUGGUAGAACAUCUGCUUAGCAUGCAGAAGGACCCCAGCUUCAAUCCACAACCUUUUCA